rnacentral:rRNA from 1 species
GAUGAACGCUGGCGGCGUGCUUAACACAUGCGAGUCGAACGGAAAGGCCCAAGCUUGCUUGGGUACUCGAGUGGCGCACGGGUGAGUAACACGUGGGUGAUCUGCCCUGCACUUCGGGAUAAGCCUGGGAAACUGGGGCUCAUACCGGAUAGGACCUCAUUUUGGAUGGUGUGGUGGAAAGUUUUGCGGUGUUGGUUGGGCUGGCAGCUUAUCCGCUGGUUGGUGGGGUAAUGGCCUACCAAGGCGUCGACGGGUAGCCGGCCUGAGAGGGUGUACGGCCACAUUGGGACUGAGGUACGGCCCAGACGCCUACGGGAGGCAGCGGUGGGGAAUAUUGCACAAUGGGCGCAAGCCUGAUGCAGCGACGCCGCGUGGGGGAUGACGGCCUUCGGGUUGUAAACUCCUUUCGCUAGGGACGAAGCGCAAGUGACGGUACCUGGAGAAGAAGCACCGGCUAACUACGUG